rnacentral:rRNA from 1 species
GACGAACGCUGGCGGCGUGCUUAACACACGCAAGUCGAACGGGAAGGCCCUGCUUUUGUGGGGUGCUCGAGUGGCGAACGGGUGAGUAACACGUGAGUAACCUGCCCUUGACUUUGGGAUAACUUCAGGAAACUGGGGCUAAUACCGGAUAGGAGCUCCUGCUGCAUGGUGGGGGUUGGAAAGUUUCGGCGGUUGGGGAUGGACUCGCGGCUUAUCAGCUUGUUGGUGGGGUAGUGGCUUACCAAGGCUUUGACGGGUAGCCGGCCUGAGAGGGUGACCGGCCACAUUGGGACUGAGAUACGGCCCAGACUCCUACGGGAGGCAGCAGUGGGGAAUAUUGCACAAUGGGCGGAAGCCUGAUGCAGCAACGCCGCGUGCGGGAUGACGGCCUUCGGGUUGUAAACCGCUUUCGCCUGUGACGAAGCGUGAGUGACGGUAAUGGGUAAAGAAGCACCGGCUAACUACGUG